CAAUAGCGCAUAUUUAAGUUGCUGCAGUUAAAAAGCUCGUAGUUGGAUUUCGGGUGGGAAUGGCCGGUCCGCCGUUUCGGUGUGCACUUGCUACGCCCACCUUGCUGCCGGGGACGUGCUCUUGAGUUCACGCUCGGGACACGGAGUCGGCGAGGUUACUUUGAGUAAAUUAGAGUGUUCAAAGCAGGCCUACGCUCUGAAUACAUUAGCAUGGAAUAACACGAUAGGACUCUGGCCUAUCUUGUUGGUCUGUAGGACCGGAGUAAUGAUUAAGAGGGACAGUCGGGGGCAUUCGUAUUUCAUUGUCAGAGGUGAAAUUCUUGGAUUUAUGAAAGACGAACUACUGCGAAAGCAUUUGCCAAGGAUGUUUUCAUUAA
rnacentral:rRNA from 1 species